AGUGUGCAAAGUAACAAAGUGCAAAAAUAAGAAAAGAAUUUUACAUCAGCAAUGACCCAUGGAACUUAGACAAAAACAAGAUGUACUGCACAGUACAGCAGCACUUUAAGGCGAUCUUCUAUCUGACCCUCCCACCCGACUCGACUCCAGCUUCUUCCCUCAUGAGGCCCAGCCCAGCCCUGCCCACUAUAUCACACUGAUUCUGGGAUUACUGCCAUCCCCUGUUGCAAUUGACGGAAAAGAAAAGAACAAAAAGCAUAUCAAGGUGACUGUACCACGUUUUGCUUUUGUCAAAUGUCAGCUGGAUCAGAACAAUGUACAUCUCUUUGUUUCUUCUCUUCCUCCUUAUAGGUUCAACCUCUACUAAAGGACGUGGGGAUUUUGGCAUUUUUAAGGCUUGCAUCGCUAACAACAGCCUAAGGUUGGACUGCUAUUAUGGAUUUUGUCCAGGCUCUCCGCCAUUCGACUGUGUAUUUAUGACAUCAAAUGGGUUCCUGCCGGCUAACCCAUCCAAGAUGUGCAGGCUUUUUCUCCCAGACCAUCCUGUGCUGUACGCCAAUAAAACCACAAGCUACAACUGCACACUGACGCGAAGACAAAGGAGAGAAGAGAAGCAAAUUACCAUAGACUACAGUAUACGUAGGGGAAAACAACACAUCUUACCCUGUUCUGGCACCACAGGCUACCUGCUACAUCAAGCUCCAACCUUACUGUGGCCUGUGGUGAUUCUGUCUCUGUGGAGGGUCCUUGGUAGCCAGACAACAUGAGGGAUUACUUGUGGAAGUUUUGACUAACAUGGAACAGUAAAAAACUGGGUUUACUAGCAGCACGGAAACAGCUGAAGAUUUACAAGUCCAAGAUAAGUUCCCACAUUUUUUGCAAUUACUGAAAAUCUAUGCUACCAAAUCAUAAUUUAUUUAAAUUGUCAAAUUAGACAUUAGGUCCACAAUUUCUAAUAUUCGAAACAGCAACUUGCCAAGUUAUAAUAAGGUGGAUUAACAAAAGAUUUGAAUAAGAUCUUCAAUGCAUUUACAAUGAUGUUGAUUAGAGUCUUGUCAGAAUAAAAUGUACAUACAUAUACAUUUAUCUCAUGUUUACUCUAAAUCUACAUGUUAAUCAUUUUAUUAGUAUGAAAGAUGAAGUACAUACACUGUAAGAAGUGUAUGCUUGUUUGUUGCAUAACAGGAAAUCUGUUUCAGGGUGUCUCAACAGCGGGACGCGGCUGACUCAGCAAAACAGGACCUUGUGGCCAUGCUGCACGGCCAGAUACGCGACUAAAAAAGGAGAAGUACAAAGGACACUCUGAGGGGUGUGAAUGAGAAGAGGAUGUUUGCACCCUCUCUGAGGUUUAGGGUGACUUAAAGUUCAAGCCUGUUAUACGAAGAAAAGUUGUGCAACAUCAUUGCUCCCCCUCCCUUAUGCACAUUUUGUUUUGUAACUAGGGUACUCCCUAAAAUGAAUAAAAAGGGAGGCAACGGCAGGAUGAGUUCAGAGCGGUAGGAGAUUGUAACUGAACUCCUCU